GGUGAGGUGCCGGAGUGGCCGAACGGGUUCGCUUGGAGAGCGAAUGUAGCCGCAAGGUUACCGUGGGUUCGAAUCCCACCCUCACCG
rnacentral:tRNA from 1 species